GAAGUCUUCAUCUUAUAAGAAACUAAUAAGAUUUGCUCAAUAACUAUUUUUAGAACAUGUCAUUUGGUACAUAACACUUAAAAGACUUCAAAUGGAGAACAAUCAGACCCUUUAUUUCUUCUUCCUUUCUCUGAUAACUUCCAUUUUCAGGAAGAAACCGAUAUAGAUCAAGAAAUACAAGAAAAACCCCACAUGGACAUGUACAAACUAGCUCCUCAAGUAUUUGAGAAGUAAUGGGAUAUGUUGAGCAGCAGAUCCUCGAUCAAUUCCUCCCUCCCUCCUGUCCGUAUUUUCUAUUGAAACACGAGAAAUGAGGGGUUUCUUUUAUACUCCGUCCUUCAUCAAAAACAAUACGAACCAGUGCUUAUGAAUUAAUAUCCAUGAUUAAAUUGUGUUCAAUUUAACAGUAUGAUUUACUUCAAUUGAGAAAUAUGAAUUUUUUUUCUCAAAAUAACCCGAAAAAACUAAUUAAAAAUUCACAUAACUAUUGGAUGUAAAGAAAAAUACUUCAGCAAACAUUUUGAAACAAGUAAAAAACAAUGAAGAACCUGCUGUCAAGAUACAUAACCAAAAGCACAUGAAAAACUGGAGAAGCAAGCAGCCAAAAGAAAGGGGAAAAUAAUUGAUGCUAAAUCCAAAUACAUCCCUCAGAAUGCCUGAUAUCCACAUAUCAUGAAAUCCCGGUUCCUCAACCUCACCAACAUGCUUUAUGAAGGAGCACCGAUCAUUCAUGAUUCAAACAAAAGUUCGGAUUACUAAACUUCUCAUCACAGGGAUUGGUGGAAUAUAAGAAGGAUACUCUGAAACAACUAUAUGUAUUAUUAGCAAAAACUAUAAAAUGCCUGCAAACAAUAGAGCAAGUUGACUGCAAACACAUUUCUCUUAUUUUACAUGUUCUGAAUCAGAUCAAGCGCACGUCUCCUCUCCACUAACACAGAUAAUGCAAUAAUUUUUUUGAUAACAGGGUGACACUUAAAAAGCAAAUCAUGGAUCAUUCAUCUCCGAAAUUUAACAUUCACAGAGAAAAACAGGUAACCAAUUCUUUUUAUGUUAUAUCUGCCCCAUUUUUCACAAGCUAGUCCUUAAUUCACGUACUUUCCUGCAUAAGUGUUUUCUACGUUAACUUUUUUUGUUAAAAUUGACAUUCAAGGGGGACCCCAAAUCACAACUUUAUGCAAGGAAAAACCACUCGACACUGUUCUCUUCUUGAGUCACUUCCGAGACCACUCUGUUAAAUGUCAUACAAGAGUGCAGUACCGACUGGACAGCUGUUACUUAGCCACCGUGUAUAACCAAGCUGCAAUAAUAGCUACAUAGGGGCAAGUAAAAUGCCCCAUCAGGGAUUUGCCUUGAGAACUCCCAUGGACCAAGAUAGAUGAAAUUCACAAUGAUAACGAAGGACCACCAUACAGGGAAUGCCCUAACAAAAUACUGAACAUGGAUUCAAAAAUGAUUUCCAUAAAUUCAAGAGUAUUGGCUCAAAAUAAGUCUUAAGAAUUGAAUCAACUUUCAAUUUCUGAAGACCUGACCAAAAAUAAGAGCUAAUGAUAAAGUACAAUCCAAGUCAGCAACUCAAAUUGACGGCAUGAUGCCCACUUUUAGCAAGGAACUAACAGGAUUAUGGAACAUUACGAAGGAAGAGGAAGAGGGAGGAGGAGGAAGGGGCCUAAAUGCAUGUGUUGCAAGUGAUGUAAACCUAUUUCUGCUACUAUGUUGCAAAUUAUUUGAACCUUCUUUCAUGGCCCUCAAGCCUCCAGCGUGCUGAAGCAUUGCCAUGUGUUCACCUAUGAAUCAAACUUAGAUGACACUCUUUCUUCAAAUUAACAUACACCCUGCUAGCUAAACUCUUACUUAAGAAUGAGGGGAAAAAAGAGGAAUCACCAGCCAAAUGUGGGAGUGCAUUUACCAAAUGAGAUCCCAACCAUCUAAGUUUCCUAUCAUGUAAUCAUAUUCAUACCUUCACUCACAUGUAUCACACACGCCCAACACUAGUCAUAGAAAACUCAUCUCCUCGACCUCAACAUACUUGCUGGAGCACCAAAUAUUCUGACUAAUAUAAGUUUAAAUUACAAUUUGUUACCAUAGGGAAGCUUGGACAAAUAUUUCUAUUAAGACAAAUUUAAACAAAUUUGAAAACAAAAUGUCUAUAAGUCAAUAUUAUAUGUUAUUGUAAAACAAAUAUCUAUAAUUGUAUCUACAGAAGUUGGACUCUUAGUUACCUAAACCAGAGGUUGAUUCAGGAGCAGCAGAAGUAAAACUCCAGAAAAAAAUUACAUGAAGGAAUUGCAUAAGAACCAGGUCCAAGGGCAAGAUUCUUAACAAAUACCAAAUGAGUGCAACCACCCUCAGUAGAAGAGUCCAACUACUAAUGAAAAAUUAGAAACAUAGAUUAAAAGAUCAGCUUUCCAAUUGAUUUGAGAUAAUACUUGUAGGAUUUAAUUAUAAAUCAUUUUCAGUUGUCAAUGGCUAUACAAGACAUCAAAAAAUGUUUUUUGCACAGUUACUUAUUUUAAAAUAAUUCCUUGAUAGUUUGGCCCAAACCAACUAAAUUAUACACCCAAAGGUCCAAGACAAAUAUUAGUAUAUUCCAAUAAAUGUAUAAUGUAACUUCUUUACUUAUUUUAUUCUCUUUAAAUUUCCUUCUUUUAUUUUUCUUGCAUGUUUCAUGAUUCUAUGACUGAAAUUGUGAAAAUCAAAAUUCAUUCAACUUGGCCAUUGCUCAAAUCAGAACCACGUUUUCACCCUUGUUGUAAACCCAAUGUGACCAAUAAUGUCCACACUUUAUAAUCAAUUUAUAAUAGUUGCAAGGCUUUACAGUAACCGGAGUAUUUGUGGAGGCAGUUGGCUUACCUAGAUACAUAAAAAAUGAGAACACAUGAAGCACAUUGAGACAAGUCUACAACAUUCAUAAUGACUAUUUUGAAUCACGUCAAUUGGCAACAUGAUGCUUACAGCUCCAGCUCUUCUAGAAGCUUGAAGACAUCAUAUCUGAUAUUAGUAGACUGAAAAGUAAUAUCUACCCUAGCAAGAAUCACGCAAUAUUGAAGUAAACUCACACAGGACAAAAUGCAUGAAGGAGAACAUGCAGAUUGUGUGUAUGAAAAGUGGUAAAAAGGCAUAAGAUAUUCGGACAUCGUACACAGAGAACAUUAAGGGUCAGCUGAACAACCCAAACUUACAACAUUUGAUCAUUUUUUCUCCUGAAGUUAAGUUGAUCUUGGUAAUGCAUAGAAAGUGAGAAAAGGCAGGAGGAGAAAAAAAUUGUGGGUAGUACCAUUGGAGAAUGCAAUGUUAACAUAUAGAAAUAGCAUGAGUGUAACGGCUUAAGGGAAUGUAUCAUGUUGCUUUAAAAAAAGCAUUUUUAUGGCUUCUAAAGCAACAAAAAUACUUCUAGAAAUAGUGUCUGGUAACAUUUUCUAAAAGGUGCUUCUAUAAGAUCAAAAAAGUGCUUCUAUCAGAAUCUAAAAAACCUAGCUUUUGGCUUCUCCUUCUCUUCUCACAAAGCUGAAGCAACACCAAACAAGCCAAAAGUAUUUCCCUCUUUUUUCUUAAAUAGGUAAUAAGAACUUCUAGCUUUCUUUUAUUUUUUCUAAUGUAAAACGUAUGCCUAACAUAAUUACAAUGUUUUUAAAAACUAUUGUAUAACCAAGGUAAUUCUGGGCUUUCUUGAUGGAGUUGAUUUUCACUAGUUUUUCUUUAACAUUUUUGAUCAAUUAUUUGAUUUACUGCCUAAGUGAUCCGCUUUGCUAGCAUAAAUUCAAAAAAAAUCUCACGCCGCCAUCUUUACCAAUCAAUCCUAUGCUAAACCAACUCUUCAACAACUUUAUUAUGUGGUUGGUCACUUUUUACUCAACAUUUUCUCAUGCAGGUUCGUAUCGCACUACUCCAGUUAUCCAACAUAAUACUACUUUUCAGAAGCUCUUUAUUUCACAUCAUUCAUCAUCAAGGAGCAAAAAGGCGAUCCAAGUUUCCAAGUUCCCAAUUAGUGAAUUCGGAUAGCUAAUACUUCAUAUCUACAAGAAGAAUACCUAGCUUACAUGAAAUAUAUAAGAUUCGAUCAAAGACGGUCAUGAACCUUUUAGAUAACGGAAGAAAAGAUAUUGAUGAAAUUAAUAUCGAUCAUGAAAGUGAUACCUGACCCUGAAAACAAAUUAAAAGUUUAAGAAUAAUAGUGGGGACGAAAAAGUAACAAGAAAUCGAGGAAAGCAAACCAAGUACCACUGUCGUAGCUGUUCGUUCUCCUCGAUUGAUCGUCAUUGGGGUUAAGAUAGGUUUAGGGUUUAUGAAAACGCGAGGGUUAGGGUUAGGAUUAGGUUUAGGUUGGCAUCGGUUACCUGAUCCCAAGUAGAGCCGAAGCUAAGUCCUUGUAGGGAGAUCGGAUUUCGAGAGAGAGGCGGUGUCCAUCUCCAUGGAUUAGGGAAAUAAGAAUCUGAAGAAACGCAGAGGAGGAGGAGGAAGAAGAGUGAAGAUGCGAUGGAGCGUUCGGACGAAUACAGGGGAUCAGAAGCGAAUUAGGGUUUAGGGAGCGGGCGGGAUUCUCA
rnacentral:lncRNA from 1 species